rnacentral:rRNA from 1 species
AACGAACGCUGGCGGCAGGCCUAACACAUGCAAGUCGAGCGAGACCUUCGGGUCUAGCGGCGGACGGGUGAGUAACGCGUGGGAACGUGCCCUUUGGUUCGGAAUAGCCCCGGGAAACUGGGAGUAAUACCGGAUAAGCCCUACGGGGGAAAGAUUUAUCGCCAAAGGAUCGGCCCGCGUUGGAUUAGGUAGUUGGUGGGGUAAUGGCCUACCAAGCCGACGAUCCAUAGCUGGUUUGAGAGGAUGAUCAGCCACACUGGGACUGAGACACGGCCCAGACUCCUACGGGAGGCAGCAGUGGGGAAUCUUAGACAAUGGGGGAAACCCUGAUCUAGCCAUGCCGCGUGAGCGAUGAAGGCCUUAGGGUUGUAAAGCUCUUUCAGUGGGGAAGAUAAUGACUGUACCCACAGAAGAAGCCCCGGCUAACUCCGUG